rnacentral:rRNA from 1 species
ACAACGUUUCGAAAGGAACGCUAAUACCCGCAUACGUCCUACGGGAGAAAGCAGGGGACCUUCGGGCCUUGCGCUAUCAGAUGAGCCUAGGUCGGAUUAGCUAGUUGGUGAGGUAAUGGCUCACCAAGGCGACGAUCCGUAACUGGUCUGAGAGGAUGAUCAGUCACACUGGAACUGAGACACGGUCCAGACUCCUACGGGAGGCAGCAGUGGGGAAUAUUGGACAAUGGGCGAAAGCCUGAUCCAGCCAUGCCGCGUGUGUGAAGAAGGUCUUCGGAUUGUAAAGCACUUUAAGUUGGGAGGAAGGGCAGUAACUUAAUACGUUGCUGUCUUGACGUUACCGACAGAAUAAGCACCG